rnacentral:rRNA from 1 species
UUGGAGGGCAAGUCUGGUGCCAGCAGCCGCGGUAAUUCCAGCUCCAAUAGCGUAUAUUAAAGUUGUUGCAGUUAAAAAGCUCGUAGUUGAAUUUCGGGAUUAGUACGCUGGUCGUGCCUUCGGUACGUACUGGUGUUACUGAUUCCUACCUUCUGACGAACCAUCAUGUCAUUAAUUUGGUGUGGCGGGGAAUCAGGACUGUUACUUUGAAAAAAUUAGAGUGUUUAAAGCAGGCUCGCGCUUGAAUACAUUAGCAUGGAAUAAUGAGAUAGGACGUUGAUCCUAUUUUGUUGGUUUCUAGGAUUGACGUAAUGAUUAAUAGGGAUAGUUGGGGGCAUUAGUAUUCAAUUGUCAGAGGUGAAAUUCUUGGAUUUAUUGAAGACUAACUACUGCGAAAGCAUUUGCCAAGGAUGUUUUCAUUAAUCAAGAACGAAAGUUAGGGGAUCGAAGACGAUCAGAUACCGUCGUAGUCUUAACCAUAAACUAUGCCGACUAGGGAUCGGAUGAUGUUAUUUUUAAUGACUCAUUCGGCGCCUUACGGGAAAC